AGUCGCAAGACCGCGAGGUUUAGCAAGUCUCUUAAAGCCGUUCUCAGUUCGGAUUGUAGGCUGCAACUCGCCUACAUGAAGUCGGAAUCGCUAGUAAUCGCGGAUCAGCAUGCCGCGGUGAAUACGUUCCCGGGCCUUGUACACACCGCCCGUCACACCAUGAGAGUUUGUAACACCCAAAGCCGGUGGGGUAACCUUUUGGAGCCAGCCGUCUAAGGUGGGACAGAUGAUUGGGGUGAAGUCGUAACAAGGUAGC
rnacentral:rRNA from 1 species